UCCAUCACAGAUGAAAAAAAAAACACUUAAAACUCAACGGAAGAGGGAGAAACUCCCCGCUCCAUAACACCAUGCAGGCUCCCUUGAGGUUUUCAUUUGCUCUGAAACAUCCCACAUUGCUCUAUUGUGCAAUAACACUAACACAUUGAUAUAAAGACAAAUAUUCUCAUUAUAACGUCGUG